CUACGGGGUGCUGCAGUGGGGAAUAUUGCACAAUGGAGGAAACUCUGAUGCAGCAACGCCGCGUGGAGGAUGACACUUUUCGGAGCGUAAACUCCUUUUAUAUAGGAAGAAGAUGACGGUACUAUAUGAAUAAGCGCCGGCUAACUCCGUGCCAGCAGCCGCGGUAAUACGGAGGGCGCAAGCGUUACUCGGAAUCACUGGGCGUAAAGGGCUUGUAGGCGGAUUAAAAAGUCAGAAGUGAAAUCCUAUAGCUUAACUAUAGAACUGCUUCUGAAACUCUUAAUCUAGAAUAUGGGAGAGGUAGAUGGAAUUUCUGGUGUAGGGGUAACAUCCGUAGAGAUCAGAAGGAAUACCGAUUGCGAAGGCGAUCUACUAGAACAUUAUUGACGCUGAGACGCGAAAGCGUGGGGAGCAAACAGGAUUAGAUACCCGCGUAGUC
rnacentral:rRNA from 1 species